CAAGAUGGCGGCGCCUAUGUCGGAGUCGUGAUCAUUCAAUCAGGUCACUCAUGUCGUGAUUUAAAGAAAAACAUGAGAUCCAUGUCAUGGACUACUGGAUUUAUGUCAUCGCGAUCAUAACGCCGAAACAAAGGAGCCGUAGAUAAACCAGUGACAGAACCAUGCAGGUGUCGGUGAGAAGGCUGGCUCUUUAUCCGCUGGGCGCUGUCCGGUCCGGCCAAAUCAGGUGUUCCCUCCUGAGCCCAGUACCCCGCCUCCUGUCCCCCAGAGCCCGUACACUGUUCAGUGAGACAGGUGUAUGGGAGAAGGACUAUCGAACCGAGACCCGACGCAGAGUGGAAGAAUGGUGGCACCCACGAAUUAUGGCACAGUGGCAGAAAGAUGCAGUGGAGCAGGGUUCCAACAGGAAGAAGUUUUAUGUCCUCUCCAUGUUUCCAUACCCAUCGGGGCGACUGCACAUGGGCCACGUGCGAGUGUAUACCAUCAGUGACACUAUCGGCCACUUCCAGAGAAUGAGAGGCCAUCAGGUGUUGAAUCCGAUGGGUUGGGAUGCUUUUGGACUUCCAGCAGAAAACGCAGCCAUUGAGCGAGGCCUCGACCCAGAGGACUGGACUAAACAUAAUAUCCAGUCCAUGCGGGAGCAGCUGGACAGCCUCGGUCUUUGCUUCAACUGGGACCGGGAGGUGACCACCUGUCUUCCAGACUACUACAGGUGGACGCAGUAUCUGUUUAUCAAGCUCUUUGAAGCAGGGCUGGCGUAUCAGAAAGAGGCUGUGGUGAACUGGGACCCUGUUGAUCAGACAGUGCUGGCUGAUGAGCAGGUGGAUGAAAACGGUCGCUCCUGGAGGUCUGGCGCCCUGGUGGAGCAGAAGCUGCUCACACAAUGGUUCAUCAAGACUACAGACUAUGCCAAGCCUCUCUUGGACGCCUUGGCAGAUCUUCCAGAGUGGUACGGUGUCAAAGCAAUGCAGGCAAACUGGAUUGGAGACUGCACCGGCUGCUACUUUGAUUUCAAACUCAAGGUGAACGGAGAGGAGACGGGGGAGACCCUGUCAGCCUACAGCUCGUCCCCAGAGAUGGUGUUCGGCGCUGCUUACUUGGCUAUCCUGCCGUCCCACAGACUGCUGCAUGGUAGUAGCUCAGUCCGCUCUGUCCUGGAGAAAGCCUAUCAACCUGGCAGAGACUCCCUAACCGAGGUCACUGCUCACAACCUGUUCACCGGCCACGAGGUUCCCCUGGUCAUCUCACACAAGGAGGCGUUUGACGGCUAUCUCGAUACCGUGAUUGGUAUCCCAGACUGCAGUGAGGAGGAUCUGUCUGUGUCCAAAGCUCUAAACCUGAGGUGGACCACUGUGCUGAAAGGCGGUGAAGAUGAGACACAAACUCUGAUUAACUCUGAUGAGUUCUCAGGCCUCACCAGAGAAGAGGCAUUUCACUCCAUUACCCAGAAGGCCAGAGAGCAGAAGGUUGGUGGCCACCUUACCAGCUCCAAGCUCAGGGACUGGUUGAUAUCAAGACAGCGGUACUGGGGCACACCCAUCCCUGUGGUGCACUGUGGGUCUUGUGGUCCAGUUGCUGUCCCUGAGGAGGAGUUACCAGUCACAUUACCUAAACUGCCGUCUCUCACAGGAAAGGGUGCGUCGCCGCUGGAGGCUGCUCAUGACUGGGUUAGCUGCAAAUGUCCCAGAUGCAAGGGCCCAGCGAGAAGGGAGACUGACACCAUGGACACAUUUGUGGACUCAGCCUGGUAUUACUUUAGAUACACAGACCCUCGUAACCCAAACAGGCCUUUUGAGCGCGACCUAGUGGAUCACUGGCUGCCGGUGGACGUGUACAUUGGAGGGAAGGAGCACGCUGUCAUGCACUUGUACUACGCUCGCUUCCUCUGUCACUUCUGCAGGGACCAGGGUCUUGUUACCCACAGGGAGCCUUUUUGGAAGCUGCUGGUCCAGGGUCUGAUCAAGGGCCAGACCUUCAAACUGGCAGACAGCGGCCAGUACCUAAAAAGAGAAGAAAUAGACUUCACAGGUAAAGAGCCGGUGGCAUAUGGUGGUGGUCCUAUUGAGGUGACGUGGGAGAAGAUGAGCAAGUCUAAACACAAUGGUCUGGACCCCCAAGAGGUGGUCCAGCAGUAUGGUGUGGACACCGUUCGACUCUACAUCCUUUAUGCCGCACCACCUGAACAGGACAUCCUCUGGAAUGUGAAGACGGACGCCCUCCCUGGGGUUCUGCGAUGGCAGUCUCGCCUCUGGCAGCUAGUGACCAAGCUGAGGGGGGCUCGGGAAUUAGGAGAUGUCCCCAACCCCUCCCUGCUGAAAAAGAAAGAGCUGGGCGAGACCAAGAAGAUCUGGGACAACAAGAACUACGCCAUUCAGGAGGUGACCUCUCACUUCACAGAGGACUUCCUUUUAAAUGCAGCCAUUUCUCGCCUGAUGGGACUUACCAAUACACUGAGUAGUGCAACAGCCAGGGUGGUCCAGCACAGCGUGGAGUUUGAGGAAUCUCUGGCUGCAUUGGUAAUGAUGACAGCUCCCAUGGCCCCUCACCUGGCUUCUGAACUCUGGGCAGGUCUUUGCCAGGUGAAAAAUCCCCUCAGCCCCCUCCUCCAGCAGGGAGGAGACGUCCUCCAACAGUCCUGGCCCACUGUGGACCCCGAGUACCUGGAUGUCCCCGACUUUGUAGAGCUGUCUGUACUGAUAAACAACAAGGCCUGUGGGAAAGUGACGGUGCCUCUGCAGGUGUCCAAAGAUUCAGAGCGGGUGCAGCAACUAAUCCUGGAGAGCCCUUUCGGACAGAAGCUUCUUGGCGAGCGCAGCAUCAAGAGAGCCAUCCUAUCCCCCAGGACCGCUCUCAUCAACUUCCUCGUUGAUGAGUGACAUUUGAAUGCCUGUCAACCAGUGACUCAGCAGGGAGAGACAGACAAAAGAGCUGCAGAUCUCUUCUGAACACCAUACAUGGACCUGCUGUUUGGCUCCUGGACGUGUCACUGUUCCCUGUGGGCCCCGUUUUACCAGAAGGUCUAUUGGAAGUGACGAGCCUCAUGUGGUCGGGGAUUUUUGAGCUUCGCCACCAUAUCACUGGUGUCCAUUGCUGCACGAUGCCCGCUCAUCAGCUUGCUGUCUCUGUCUCAGCAUUGGAUCAACAUGACUCAGCCAUUAGCAUUGUUCUGGCAGAGCACAUGCACCAGCAGCACUGAAAUGUAUCCAUGUGUACACCCACUGGCCUAUCUUUAAAGGCUUGGUGAGUAAGCAGUUAUUUGAUGUGUGCAAGCACUUGCGGUACCCUCAUCGCCUGUAAACAAGAUUGUCUGUGGCUGCAUAAGAAAAGUCUGAUGUUUCGUCUUGUUCCAGUGUGUGAAUGAACAAUAAGGAAUGUGAUCUCUUUGAAAAGUGAGAUACACGUGCCAGUUUUGCACGGUCAGCUUCUGUUUGAGGAAGUGCUUUUAUUUUUAUAGUACAACAUGGUCAGCUUGGGACCGAUAAAAUCAUGCUGUAUUGUUAUGUAACUAAUAGAAAGUGUUUCUUAUUAAAAUAAGAUGAAUAA